ensembl:miRNA MIR4650-2 microRNA 4650-2
UUCUGUAGAGAUUAUCAGGCCUCUUUCUACCUUCCAAGGCUCAGAAGGUAGAAUGAGGCCUGACAUAUCUGCAGGA